rnacentral:rRNA from 1 species
AGCAGCCGCGGUAAUUCCAGCUCCAAUAGCGUAUAUUAAAGUUGUUGCAGUUAAAAAGCUCGUAGUUGAAUUUCGGGAUCAAGUCGUCGGUCGUGCUCAGGUACGUACUGGCGUCAUUGAUUUCUCCCUUCUGACGAACCAUGAUGUCAUUAAUUUGGUGUCAUGGGAAAUCAGGACUGUUACUUUGAAAAAAUUAGAGUGUUUAAAGCAGGCUCACGCUUGAAUACAUUAGCAUGGAAUAAUGAAAUAGGACGUUCGAUCCUAUUUUGUUGGUUUUUAGGAUCAACGUAAUGAUUAAUAGGGAUAGUUGGGGGCAUUAGUAUUCAAUUGUCAGAGGUGAAAUUCUUGGAUUUAUUGAAGACUAACUACUGCGAAAGCAUUUGCCAAGGAUGUUUUCAUUAAUCAAGAACGAAAGUUAGGGGAUCGAAGACGAUCAGAUACCGUCGUAGUCUUAACCAUAAACUAUGCCGACUAGGGAUCGGAUGAUGUUAAUUUUUAAUGA